UAGUCCAUGCCGUAAACGAUGGUAACUAGGUGUGCGCGAUAGACAGUGCGCGCCCAAGCGAAAGCGAUAAGUUACCCACCUGGGGAGUACGCCCGCAAGGGUGAAACUCAAAGGAAUUGACGGGGGUCCGCACAAGCGGCGGAGCAUGUGGUUUAAUUCGAUGAUACGCGAGGAACCUUACCUGGGCUCGAAUCCGCACUGAAUUAUCUGGAGACAGAUAAGCCUUCGGGACGCGAAACAAGGUGCUGCAUGGUUGUCGUCAGCUCGUGCCGUGAGGUGUUGGGUUAAGUCCCGCAACGAGCGCAACCCCUAUUGCUAGUUGCCAGCAUUAAGUUGGGGACUCUAGCAAGACUGCCGGCGUAAGCCGCGAGGAAGGUGGGGACGACGUCAAAUCAUCAUGGCCUUUAUGCCUAGGGCGACACACGUGCUACAAUGGUGCAUACAGAGGGUAGCGAAGCCGCGAGGUGGAGCCAAUCUCAGAAAGUGCAUCCC
rnacentral:rRNA from 1 species